ensembl:lncRNA
AUAAUGAUGUGUGACCACUUAAUAAUAAUUAUAAUUUAUUAUUUCAAUAGUAAUAAAUAAAUAAAUAAAUAAAUAAAAGUCACACUUGGGAUAUACACACAUCCCCAGUGCACACACUAAACAAACAGCACAUAAUAGGUAAAUGUCUUCAGGCCUCGUAUGAAAGAUAUUGGUGUUUGUGUGAUAUGGGCAUGAAUUGAUGUCUUAUGCCUUAUGCUGUGGGUGAAACAUUACACUAAAUUAUGUUGGUGGAAAUUUCUAUAAAUAAAAAUGUUUCAGUGUAAUACAAACAAUUAAUGUUGGUUGUUAAAGGGGUCAUAUGAUGCUGCUAAAAAGAACAUUAUUUUGUGUAUUUGGUGUAAUGAAAUGUGUUUAUGCAGUUUAAUUUACAAAAAACACAUUAUUUUCCACAUACUGUACAUUAUUGUUUCUCCUCUAUGCCCCGCCUUUCUGAAACACAUCGAUUUUUACAAAGCUCAUCGUUCUGAAAAGCAAGGUGUGCUCUGAUUGGCCAGCUAUCCAGUGCGCUGUGAUUGGCCGAAUACCUCAAGCAUGUGAUGGAAAUGUUACGCCCUUGUCAUACUGUGAUGCCGUGUGUCCCAGUCAGAACACCGGCGAGACAAGAUAAAACCAAUAAAUCCCAUUACAAACGAGGCAUUUGUAGCAUCCAUUGGGGACAUAAUUACUGAUUAUAAUGACAUCGCAGAGACAUCGCAACUACACGUCAUUACAGAGGAUCUCAACUCAUUCCUCAGCUCCUCCAUCAGUCUUCAAAGAAUGCAGGUCUUCGCCAGCUGUAUCAUGGAAACUUUAUCAUGGAAAAAAAAAAUGUAAAUAAGAUGAGAUGGAGGCUCAAAAUACCUUCCUNGGAAACUUUAUCAUGGAAAAAAAAUGUAAAUAAGAUGAGAUGGAGGCUCAAAAUACCUUCCUGUUGAAACAUAAUGACAAUAAUUUUGUCCACCAGGAGAAUAGUUGGGAAAAGAUCAUCAGGAAAAGAAAAAAAAAAGAGACCAGCAGAAAACUUUCAUUUGGACUUCCAGAGCUUGACAGAUUGACACACAGACAGAAACACUCAGGUUUGACUGCACCGCUUAAUAUGAUCCAUUUUAAAAGUUGUUUUCAAUUAUUCAUCGACUGAAUAUGCUAUAAUAAAUCAGAAAUAAACAGGAAAUACUAAAUUUGUCAUGGCAGUGAUAGAGAAUAUUAUUCAGGAAACAUAUGCUGCAAAUGUAUUAUUGAUGGUCUUACAGUGACAUUUAAUCUUACUGGUAAAGCUAAUAAGACACUGAAACAUUUUAUGGAGAGACUUUGGUGCAUUUUUUUAUUUUUAUUUUUAUUUUAUUUUUGGUGAAGUUUUUUUUUUUUUUCAUUGCUAGAUUUUUCAGACUAAAAAAAAAUAGAUAUAUAUGUAAAAAUGUCAGUCAAAGGGGGAGUUGCAUAAAAGAACUAAAAAAUUAACUCAAGACCUGGUUUUACAACACCAUUCAUAAUGAAAUACACACAUGGCAUCUAAUUUACUACAGCAUGUAUUUCUAUAAGCUUGCUUGGUUCUGUUUUACUGUUAUUAAAUCAAUCACGCUACACUUGUAGUCACUUAAUGUGUACAAGAGCUGCAUCAUUUCGAGUGGAGCACUAAGAGCUUAGGUUUCAAUUUUGUUGGUGUCCUUGCAAAUACUUACAGGUGCUAUGAAGUAUAUUAUGACAACAUACUUUAACAAAAUAUGUAGUAUCAAAUUAACAUUUAUG